CAAGGGGGGGAGGAAGAAGGGAUACCAAAACCCAGUUACCAAGAGGACGGUGUAAUGUUAAUGUGCAAACAAGUCACCCUUCCAAUGCACACAACACGCUGUUAGGUCGCUUAGGAGACAAAUCCAGAAGUUCACGUGUGAAGCCUUUUCUGAACGGGAGCUCCCGUAAGGAAGAAAAGGAGGGAAUUUGGAGACGCACAAAGAAGCACCCGGGCAGUGCAUGCACAGAGGAAAGGUAGUGUGGGGACACAGUGAGAAGGAGGCCACCUGCAAGCCAAGAAGAGAAGCCUCCGGAGAAAUCAGCUCAGCUGACACCUAGACCUUGGACUUCUAGCCUUCUGAACUCAGAGAUCCAAAUGGAAGAGGCUGGGUCGACUUGAAGCUGGGUAUGCCCAGCAAGCACACAGUCUUUCCUUAGCGUGGCUACAGAUGAAUUAAAAGAGAAGUUUGGAACACUUCCUCAUCCUUCUAUCCUGCCCCCAGUAGAACACUAAGACACGGCAAUGGAUUUCUCCAGAGAGAUGGUGGACCUUAUAGAUUCCAACCUACAACUUAGCAUUUUGAAAUGGUGCUGUUUGAAAGAAAUAUUUGAGGGACCACCCAAGGCUUCUCAUCAGGAGAUCCAAUUUCCCUGUUUAAUAGACUACUCUACUGGUUGUGUUCAGAAUGGUUUGGCUACAGAGGUUGCUGAGGUAUGGCAGAGUCAAGGAGUGGAGAUGGAGAUGUGGACAGCUUUGAGAGAUAUUUAAGAGGUAUGUGUAACACACGGAUUGGAAGAUGUUGGGGAAGGAGAAGUGUAUGAGAAAGACACCAGUUUCCUGGCUUGAACCACUGGGCGGGUGAUGGUGCCUUUACUGGGAUGGGGGAUGUCAAGGAGACCCUCGUUGUGGAUGGAAGAAGAUGUGUUCGAUACGUAUCUAUGAAUGUACAUAACUGGAUUACAAGUCUCAGAAACAUGAUAACCCUCACUAUAUGGGAUGCACUCUAAUAUUUUUUAAUCAACUUUAUUGAAGUAUGUUUUACAUAUAAUAAAAUACAUCCAUAUUGCAUACACAAGGAGUUGUGACAAAUGCAUAUACCUCUGUACACCACCACAACUAAAAUUAAAAUUUCUAUCACCUCCAAAAAUUCCGUUUCCCAUGUGCGCUGUUAACUCCCCUCCAUCAGGGGCCCCAGGCUUUCAAUCAUUAUAGAUAAGUCUGCACUGCCUAGAAUUUCAU